rnacentral:rRNA from 1 species
GACGAACGCUGGCGGCGUGCCUAAUACAUGCCAGUAGAACGCUGAAGCGAGGAGCUUACUCUUCUUGGAUGAGUUGCGAACGGGUGAGUAACGCGUAGGUAACCUGCCUUGUAGCGGGGGAUAACUAUUGGAAACGAUAGCUAAUACCGCAUAACAAUGGAUGACACAUGUCAUUUAUUUGAAAGGGGCAAUUGCUCCACUACAAGAUGGACCUGCGUUGUAUUAGCUAGUAGGUGAGGUAAUGGCUCACCUAGGCGACGAUACAUAGCCGACCUGAGAGGGUGGUCGGCCACACUGGGACUGGGACACGGCCCAGACUCCUUCGGGAGGGAGCAGUAGGGAAUCUUCGGCAAUGGGGGCAACCCUGACCGAGCAACGCCGCGGGAGUGAAGAAGGUUUUCGGAUCGUAAAGCUCUGUUGUAAGUCAAGAACGGGUGUGAGAGUGGAAAGUUCACACUGUGACGGUAGCUUACCAGAAAGGGACGGCUAACUACGUG